rnacentral:rRNA from 1 species
UAGGGAAUCUUCGGCAAUGGGGGCAACCCUGACCGAGCAACGCCGCGUGAGUGAAGAAGGUUUUCGGAUCGUAAAGCUCUGUUGUAAGAGAAGAACGUGUGUGAGAGUGGAAAGUUCACACAGUGACGGUAACUUACCAGAAAUGGACGGCUAACUACGUGCCAGCAGCCGCGGUAAUACGUAGGUCCCGAGCGUUGUCCGGAUUUAUUGGGCGUAAAGCGAGCGCAGGCGGUUUAAUAAGUCUGAAGUUAAAGGCAGUGGCUUAACCAUUGUUCGCUUUGGAAACUGUUAAACUUGAGUGCAGAAGGGGAGAGUGGAAUUCCAUGUGUAGCGGUGAAAUGCGUAGAUAUAUGGAGGAACACCGGUGGCGAAAGCGGCUCUCUGGUCUGUAAAUGACGCUGAGGCUCGAAAGCGUGGGGAGCAAACAGG